rnacentral:rRNA from 1 species
GACAGAGGUGCCAAGCGUUAGGCGGAAUCACUGGGCUUAAAGCGUGUGUAGGCGGAUCGUUAAGUACCUUGUGAAAUCCCCCGGCUCAACCGGGGAACUGCUGGGUAUACUGGCGAUCUUGAGCGAUCUAGGGGCAGAUGGAACAAGUGGUGGAGCGGUGAAAUGCGUAGAUAUCUGGAGGAAUACCGGUGGCGAAGGCGGCAUCCUGGACCGACAUUGACGCUGAGGAGCGAAAGCCAGGGGAGCAAACGGG